rnacentral:rRNA from 1 species
CCAGACUCCUACGGGAGGCAGCAGUGGGGAAUAUUGCACAAUGGGGGAAACCCUGAUGCAGCAACGCCGCGUGGGUGAAGAAGUAUUUCGGUAUGUAAAGCCCUAUCAGCAGGGAAGAGAAUGACGGUACCUGACUAAGAAGCCCCGGCUAACUACGUGCCAGCAGCCGCGGUAAUACGUAGGGGGCAAGCGUUAUCCGGAUUUACUGGGUGUAAAGGGAGCGUAGACGGUUGUGCAAGUCUGAAGUGAAAGCCCGCGGCUCAACUGCGGAACGGCUUUGGAAACUGUGUAACUGGAGUGCUGGAGAGGUAAGCGGAAUUCCUGGUGUAGCGGUGAAAUGCGUAGAGAUCAGGAGGAACACCGGCGGCGAAGGCGGCUUACUGGACAGUAACUGACGUUGAGGCUCGAAAGCGUGGGGAGCAAACAGGAUUAGAUACCCGAGUA